ensembl:lncRNA
UUUUAAAAAAUUAUUUUCAAAACUACAACAAAAGAAAGCAAAACAAAAAAGUAGGCUAGGAAGCAGUCAAAAUAAAGCUGCUAUCUGUUGAGCCCUGUUGUUGCUUGAGAGCUCUGCUUGUUUGGAGUUCUUAAGUGCAAAUUUAGAGUCGAAACCAGAAAUAGCUGAGAAGGGUUUGGUAAUAUUUGCAGCUGAGUACCCUCCAUUCCCAUCAUCUCUGAAAUGGGAGCCUUGCGUGGCCCAUGGUAUUUCUUUGCAACUUGCACAAGUAUUUGCAAAGAUGUGGAGCAGAGCCGAUGUGUGCAGCCACUGAUAACGUAUCCAUGUAAACAGCAGUGCCUGGGGGGUCACUGCACACAGCUCCUCCAAGCCCUGGGAAGGGAACCACGUUCCUUCUUUGUUUUCCCUGUGCACAGCUUUUGAAAAGGAGACACAUAUGGAGGAGGGAUGGGAUAGAGCAACCACUGGGGAUUUUGUUUGGUUUUCUGUUUCUUCCAUGCUGUCAUAUUAAGUAAGAGAAUGAGUUCACCCAUAUUUUGCCCUUAUGGUUUUAUUGCUUUGUAGAAAAAAAGCCUUGUGACUCUACAAAGAUGCUGGAUCCUUUGGCAGAGGGAGCAGCAAGCAUGUUGCUCAGCCAUUCAACACACUUCAGGUGUUUUAAAAAGCCUCUUUGUGGUAGAAGUGCAUGGCACUCCAAAGACAUCACCCACCAUGGUGUACAGCAGUGGUGCAGAAGAAUCAUCCCUCCUGUGGAGGCCAGAGAGGCUCUUUGUCUCUACUGUCCCCUUUCCUCCAUCUCCAGGCCACAACCACAGCAUCUGCUUCAGUUCAGAUGCUGAUCUCUGCUGCCCCUGUUCGCCCGUGAAAAAGCUAAACAAGAUCAUCUGCUGCUACCUGAAACCCAAUGGUAAUGAGAUGGUGACAAACUCAGGUUAUUCUGUGGGUGCAUCCACUCUUUUUUCACAAAGAAAAUGUUGGGCAUCUGAGGUUUCUCAUAAUGCAAGAUGGGAAGAAAUCUAAAAUGGAAAAGUUUCUGAGGACAGGGUUUUGGUCAGAGCUGUGCACUGGUCAUUGGAUAAGAACAGUCUGACUGUGUUUUUACUGUAGGAGAAAAAUUCAGUCCAGCUAUGAGUUUAUUACCCAAGAAGAGUAUUUUUCCAGCCUUCGAAAUUCCUGAAGCAAUGUAAAGGACACUACAGUGACUUCAUACGUUGAGGAAGCAUUAAAAAAAGAGUGGUCUCCUGGGUUGUAGAACAAAGAGAAACAAAUUUCAAAUCUCAGACUUAGCUCCAUUAACUAAUGUUUUAAUUUAUCGGUCAUAGAUAUUUGAUUAAAGAAUCUGCUAUACAAUUUCUUUUGCAAGUUCUAUGGCCCUGAUUGUGUAAAGGCAUCCUGUGCCCUUGGAAAAAACAAUCCCUCCUUACACGGACCAAAAAAGGUGUCCCUUCACACAACAACUCCACAGCUUGUUUCCUUUUUCUUCCAGCAGGGGUUUUCAUUUUCAUUCCACAAUUUUAUUUAUUGUAAAAUAGCAGUGGUCACUGUGCAUGCU